rnacentral:rRNA from 1 species
UACGUAGGUGGCAAGCGUUGUCCGGAUUUACUGGGCGUAAAGCGCCCGCAGGCGGCUUGGUAAGUUCAAGGUGAAAUCUCCCGGCUUAACUGGGAGGGUGCCUCGAAAACUGCCAGGCUUGAGGCGAGGAGAGGGAUGCAGAAUUCCAGGUGUAGCGGUGAAAUGCGUAGAUAUCUGGAGGAAUACCAGUGGCGAAGGCGGCAUCCUGGCCUUGUCCUGACGCUCAGGGGCGAAAGCGUGGGGAGCAAACCGG